CACCAGGCGCGAAAACUUUACAAUGCCGGCAACGGCGAUAAGGGGACCUCGAGUGCCAGGUUACAAAUCUGGCUGUCGAGAUGCCUAAAAAGCAUUUCAUAGCAAGGGCCGGGCAAGACCGGUGCCAGCCGCCGCGGUAACACCGGCGGCUCGAGUGGUAACCGUUAUUAUUGGGUCUAAAGGGUCUGUAGCCGGCCGGAUAAGUCUCUUGGGAAAUCCAGCAGCUCAACUGUUGGGCUUUCAGGAGAUACUGUCUGGCUCGAGGCCGGGAGAGGUGAGAGGUACUUCAGGGGUAGGGGUGAAAUCUUGUAAUCCUUGAAGGACCACCAGUGGCGAAGGCGUCUCACCAGAACGGACCUGACGGCAAGGGACGAAAGCUAGGGGCACGAACCGGAUUAGAUACCCGGGUAGUCCUAGCCGUAAACGAUACUCGCUAGGUGUCGGCCACGGUGCGACCGUUGUCGGUGCCGUAGGGAAGCCGUGAAGCGAGCCACCUGGGAAGUACGGCCGCAAGGCUGAAACUUAAAGGAAUUGGCGGGGGAGCAC
rnacentral:rRNA from 1 species